GGGGUGAGUAAUGGCCUAGGAAAUUGCCCUGAUGUGGGGGAUAACCAUUGGAAACGAUGGCUAAUACCGCAUGAUGCCUACGGGCCAAAGAGGGGGACCUUCGGGCCUCUCGCGUCAGGAUAUGCCUAGGUGGGAUUAGCUAGUUGGUGAGGUAAGGGCUCACCAAGGCGACGAUCCCUAGCUGGUCUGAGAGGAUGAUCAGCCACACUGGAACUGAGACACGGUCCAG
rnacentral:rRNA from 1 species